rnacentral:lncRNA from 1 species
AAAACUAGAAACAAUAUUAAUAAAUGAACGUAAAAUAAAAAAAUGUUGUUUAAUGAAAAACACCCAUCGCCUACGGUUAGCGGAUAUUUAAAUCCACUACGAACGACUUCAACACUUCAAACUCCUGAAUUUUACGACUAAUGACAAACUGUGAAAAAGCAACGCUAGCAGAAAAAUUCACAUGUUUGCUCAUAGUGAAAAAGUGAACUGUUUGCCGGCAUAAAUGUAGGAGCGUCGAGGCAAACCACUUGAACAACAAUUGAAAUACGAUGAGUGCUUGCUUACAUUUACAUUUACGUCAUACAUACAUACAUAUUGGAAUAUACAGCGGAAGGUGCGACCUCGGAGUGGUAAAUUAAAAACCCGGUGAAGGAGAAGAAAUUAUAAUAAAGCAAAUAGAAACAUUGAGAUGUAAAUGUAAAAAAUUUGUAGAAUAAAAUAAAAAAUAUAUUUGCAGAAGAAA